rnacentral:lncRNA from 11 species
ACCCACUUGAAAAAUCCCAGCCCCUUCCCUGAUAUUGUUUAUUUUUUUAAAUUAUUAUAAAAUUAUAGAAUUUUUAAAAUAAAGCAAGAGCACUGCAGUCAGGCAGAAAUCACUGUGCCCCAGAAAGGGGAAGCAGAACACUCAAGGGCUGGGGAUUACAAACCCCAAAAAUGUAUUUGCUUUUUAAAAUGUAAAAUAAAACACCAAAGGAAACAGAGGACCAAGGCAGGCAACUGAGCCAGUGAGAUAAACGGAGAAGGGAAAUGAAACCCAACGAGGAAAGGAAUUUUUUUUAAUGAGUUAGAUCAGCACACUAAAAUUGGCGCUGAGCAAGUAAGAAGAUCAUCCUAUAGAGGAGGAGGCAGAGAAGGAGGGAAGGAGAUGAAAAUGGAAAAGCAGAAGCCCUAUGAAAUCAUCAUUAAUUUCAAUAGCAGACUGAAAAGUAUCUGAAUGAACAACAAGGAAUAAAAGUAUGCUGGCAUGAUCCGCAGUUUCACUUAAGUCAAAGUGACCCAGACUGCCACUGAACUGCAUUGCUGACAGCAAAGGUCACAAAUAAUGUGUGGUAUCAAUUGUCAUGCCAGUAGUGUAUGUGUGACUAGGUAAUCUGCCCUAUUCAACAUAACUCGGGGAGACUUGUUGAAUCCUGCCCAUGCAAUAAGCAAAGAUGAAAGGGCAGGAUUGCUGCAUGACCUGAACAAUGAUUGUAUGGUUGCUCUAGCCAACUACUGUAAUGUCAGGAACGGUGUCCAACAUAGGACAAAAAAAAAAGAAACUUGGUAGCUUGAAUAAAGAAAAUGGACAUGAA